AGUGAACGCUGGCGGUAGGCCUAACACAUGCAAGUCGAACGGCAGCACAGUAAGAGCUUGCUCUUACGGGUGGCGAGUGGCGGACGGGUGAGGAAUACAUCGGAAUCUACUUUUUCGUGGGGGAUAACGUAGGGAAACUUACGCUAAUACCGCAUACGACCUACGGGUGAAAGCAGGGGAUCUUCGGACCUUGCGCGAUUGAAUGAGCCGAUGUCGGAUUAGCCAGUUGGCGGGGUAAAGGCCCACCAAGGCGACGAUCCGUAGCUGGUCUGAGAGGAUGAUCAGCCACACUGGAACUGAGACACGGUCCAGACUCCUACGGGAGGCAGCAGUGGGGAAUAUUGGACAAUGGGGGCAAGCCUGAUCCAGCCAUACCGCGUGGGUGAAGAAGGCCUUCGGGUUGUAAAGCCCUUUUGUUGGGAAAGAAAAGCAGCAGGUUAAUACCCCGCUGUUCUGACGGUACCAAAAGAAUAAGCACCGGCUAACUUCGUG
rnacentral:rRNA from 1 species